UACGUAGGGGGCAAGCGUUGUCCGGAAUCAUUGGGCGUAAAGAGCGUGUAGGCGGCCAGAUAAGUCCGCUGUGAAAUCUCGAGGCUCAACUUCGAGCUGUCGGUGGAAACUGUCUGGCUAGAGUCCGGAAGAGGAGAAUGGAAUUCCUGGUGUAGCGGUGAGAUGCGCAGAUAUCAGGAAGAACACCCGUGGCGAAGGCGGUUCUCUGGGACGGUACUGACGCUGAGACGCGAAAGCGUGGGAGCGAACAGG
rnacentral:rRNA from 1 species